AAAUGAAUUGACGGGGGCCCGCACAAGCAGUGGAGUAUGUGGUUUAAUUCGACGCAACGCGAAGAACCUUACCAGGGUUUGACAUCCUCUGACAGCUAUAGAGAUAUAGCAUUCUCUUCGGAGACAGAGAGACAGGUGGUGCAUGGUUGUCGUCAGCUCGUGUCGUGAGAUGUUGGGUUAAGUCCCGCAACGAGCGCAACCCCUAUUGCCAGUUACCAUCAUUAAGUUGGGGACUCUGGCGAGACCGCCGUUGACAAAACGGAGGAAGGUGGGGAUGACGUCAAAUCAUCAUGCCCCUUACGUCCUGGGCUACACACGUACUACAAUGGUAGGAACAAUGGGCAGCGAAACCGCGAGGUGGAGCGAAUCCCCAAAUCCUAUCUCAGUUCAGAUUGCAGGCUGAAACUCGCCUGCAUGAAGCAGGAAUUGCUAGUAAUGGCAGGUCAGCAUACUGCCGUGAAUACGUUCCCGGGCCUUGUACACACCGCCCGU
rnacentral:rRNA from 1 species